rnacentral:lncRNA from 1 species
UUUCGAAAACAUCGAAUAAAUCAUAAAAAAAAUAUGAUAUUAAUAACCAAUCUUACAAUAAUAUCUAUCAAAUAACCAAACUAAUAAAAUAAAUGCUACCUAAACUAAAAUUUCAACAAAAAUAAAAAAAAAAAAUCUGCAUUUAGACAUUCUCAAUUUUUGGACGGAGACUCUCUGAAUCACCACCUAUGAAUAUUGUUUUCUAAAUAGGGUCCUUCAUUAUGAAAACAUAAGCCUUCCUCAAAUAAGGCUUAGUGAAACCUUCAACUGCCAUUACUUGUUCACGAACGUAUUCAGCACGUGCUGCUGGAUCAAUAGACUUUCAAAGAUUGAUCAUUUUAUUAGUCAUCUCAUGGACCAAUUCAGGCACUACAUCCAUUGGUCGUGUUUUCUUUCCAUGUUGCCUUUUCUUUGAGGUUGAGGUUGAGGUCGACGCCUUUCUUUUUCCAGCUUCAUUUGUGUCUUCAAUGUCAUCUAGAUGAAUUGUUUCAUUAGUAGGCAAGUCAGACAUACCAUCUAUCUUAUUCAGAUCAAUAGAAUCCAGGCCUCCAAAUGAAUUACAUCCUGUUUCAUUAGCAGACAAGUCAGGCAUACCAUCAAUUAUAUGUAAGUCAUAUGAUAGAAGUCACUACUGGAACCUGAUGCAGGAACUAGAUCUUGGAACACAAACAAACUCAUACCAAUAUUAAGAAGAACACUUCUUUUUCAUUAAUCAUUAAAAACCAAGUCCUUUACAUCUAACAAGAGGCCUUUAUAUAGGCUACAGUUUCCAAAUCCUAAUCAAACCCUAAUACUGUAUAAAGGACGCAACUAACCUCCAACCCUAAUAUAAGACGAAAACUACUAAAAAUAGAAAGAUUUGAGUUAUGAUCAAAUCUGGACUCUACUCAUCUCUAGAAAUCCAACGCCACAAACGGCAUGUAAAACGGAGUUCUCUAGAAAGAGAUAUAAACAAAACAAAACUUUCUUAAAAUAGUAAAAUUGGCUUUUUGAAGGCCUAAACGAUAUCAGAACCCCGUUUUCCUUCAGAAAAAGGGGUCCUGAUGCAACUUUGGUAAACUGGACAAAAUCUCAACUUGCCCGCGGGCGAGCCUCGAGCAACUUCUGGUGGCGGGCAGUCGAGCUACGCUCCCAUUUCUCUUCAAACAUAUCAACUAACUCCUGUAUGCCAUCAGAUAGAGGUGGCAAUCAUACCUGACGACCCGAAACCCGACCUGAACCUGACCUGAACUGGGUCAGGUUUGGGUUUGAAUAUUUGAGGUUUUGGGGCUGAUCAGGUCGACCCGAUUGACCUGAUAUGUAAUCAGGUUAGGUUCAGGUUUCCCUUCCAGACCUGUCGGGUCGACCCGAAACCUGACCAAAAUAAACCUAAAUACCUAAUUCUUCUAUCCAUUUUUUAAUCUCUCGAAACUAAAACCUCAAAACAUUCUCUGCGGUGUUUUCUAAAUGGAUGAGGAAGAAGAAGAGGUUUCAGCAACUUGGAUUCGAUCUACCUUAUUCUUCAACUGCUCAUUCAUCAUCAGUUGUCAUCGAAUCGCCCUCCACAAGAAAUCCGAACACUUUCUUUCGCUCUUUUUCUUCAAACCUUAAAGGGAUUCAUAAAGAGAAUUACCAUUUUUUUCAGUCAACAAUAUAAAUGUAAACUUUUGAGUUGAUCUUGCUUUUUUAUGUUUUUUUUUUCCUAUUUUCAAUUUGAUCUUAUUACUAUAGAUUUCAAUUGCACUUAAAACACCCAUUUUCUUAGUAACAACUGAUUGAUUAGUGAGCUGUUUUAGUGAGUAGUGGAAAUUUUAUGUAAGUUUGUUUCAAAAAUACUGAACUCUCAUUUUUUGUAUGAUGUAUUUGUUGUACAAAGAUAAGAAAUUGGAUGAGCAAUCUUGUGUUUUUCAAUUUGUAAAACAUUAAAUGGAUUGCAAUUUUACACUAUUUCAUUACCAUACAUUCUAAGUGUAGAAACAGGGUACACUGCCCAGAUUUUGGUACUCUGUAAAUAGAGUUGCCAACUGCUUGUAGGGGAACAACUAUCAAUAUAUUACUGCUGAGUGACACAUUAAGUACUCUUUAAUAGCCUUUGACAGUUUUCAGUGUUCUGUAGACUUGUUUUUUCACAACUCAUGUGGAAGAACAGAAAAAAUGACUCUAAUUAUCGUUCAAUGUUGAGUUCUUAUUGAACAAUAUACUUUUUGCCUUGUAACUUAUAAGAAAACAAAUAAAGGGUGAAUCUGUUAGUAAGGACAUUUCUUAUUUCAAACUAAGUGUCGUAUAUGCAUAUUAGCUACUGAUUUGUGUAUCGUGUGUUAAGCAUCUGUGAUAAGCAAUGGAUUCAAGGUAGUCACAUUUUGUAUUAUCAUUGAAUUGUUAGUCCUCGUGUUUUCAUUUUAUUUUGAUUUGAAAGAUCAUACUUAGAUACACUACAUCUGGACAAGAGAUGAAUGGUUGUCUUUAAUUUUUUGCAUACGUCUUAAAUUACAUUAGACUAUUGAGUAAGAAACUAUAGUGCCAACUGCCAAGGCUUUAUAUAGUCUAUCUCAUGUUAAGCAAGUGUCGAGCUUGGUAACUAGGUUUUGAGUAUGUUUGGUCUUGAAACAACACAAUGACUUAUGCCCUAAUUGUUUUACUGUGUAGUUAAUGUUUAAAGUAUUUUCUCGUUCUCAUUCUCAUUUUAAUGCAAUUAUAUGAUCCUAUGUAUUUUCCAGAUUUACAAAUCAUGCUCCCUCAAUGCAGUUUUAUCUAAUUGUGUUUGGCGUUGGGGUAUUGGCAUAUUGCACAACAAACGGGUGGUCUAAGGUAAUGCCUAUCGUUGCAAAGGAAAGUCAAGGUGGAACGGUCGAGACAAGAGAAAGAAAAACAAUAAUGUGUUGGACUACUGGCAAAUAGUUUCGUGGAAGGAAAGCAUGGAAAUGAUCUAGACUAUGGAGUCAGUUUUGAUGCUAAUUACAUAUAGGACUAUGGAGUUAGUUUCAAUUUUCAAAGAAAAUUCUUGUUGUGGCAGUAGACCAGUACUCUUGUUUCUUAAGACACUCAAGUUGUUCUAUUGUUUAAUAUAUUAUAAGUUGUAGAAUGGAUUUUUUUUGUUCACAAAUUUGAAAGAAGCUACUGAAAAUUAUGUAUUAACUAGAUUAAAUUUUGCAAGUACGUACAAAUGUAUCAGGUUUUCAGGUCGACCUGAACUUGACCGAUAACCUGACAGGUCAGGUUCAGGUUUCCAUUUUGAGCGAAAAACAAGUCAUCGGGUCAGGUUCAGGUUUUGGGUUUGAGACCUGACAACCCGUCUGACCUGACCCGAACCUGACCUGACUCGACCUGAUUGCCAGCCCUACCAUCAGAACCAUAUCACAUGGAUAAUCUAUGUAAGAGUUUCAAUGACAUGUGUUAAUAUUUUCAAAUAAAAAAUCACUUCAUUGAAUAAAAACUGGAUAUAGGAGCAAUAUUCAUGCAAUUUCCACCAAAACCUUAAAAUGGGUUCAAGUUUUUUGCUGACCAGGCUUUGUAAUUCUCUUAUAGUACUGGUGAGAAUAUAUUUUAACUUUGAUAAACAUAAAUAAUAAAAACACAAAUCUAAAAAAACUAAAGAAAAAACUAAACAAACAUUUUCAUAACUCAUUAGGAAACCAGACAUGCUAUGUUUUUUUUGUAUGUGCAUACAAUAUACUGUUCAGGAAUGUUUAUUUCGGAGAGAUGACUAAUCAAAUUUUACUUUUAUAGAAAAAAUAAAAUAAAAAUUCAAACUCACAAGAUCAGAUAGGAGUUCAUCCCAUUUUGCAUCUGGAGCAUCAAUUGUUUAUUUAAUUGGGUCCCACCCAAAUCCACUUCUCGACUUCAAAUCCAUGAAAGAGUUGAAUUCACUUCGCAUUGUGCGCACCGGACUAACUAUAUGAUUUUUUUCAAUAUGUUCAUGGCACUUAGUAAGUACAGCUGAUUUGAUUGAGACAUAAACUGACUCCUCCCAUACUUGACCUUGUUUCUUUCCUAGUUGGAAUGCAUCAAUUGGUAUCAAUGAGGACAUUAUCCAUUGCACGAGUCCAGUUAAUUUGCUUUCUUUUCAUGUCCAUCUUUUGUUCAAAAUCAUUCAGGUCUGGUUUCUUUCCUUUGUCCAUUCUUUGUCCCAGGUUAUUAAAAUCCAUGGCUACGAUGAAAUGCAAUGGAUUAGCAAGAAAGAAAAAGAAAACACUAAAUAAAUAAAUAAAUAAGCAAUAAAAUAAAUUCAUAUCUAAUGAAAAACAUAACAACGUAAUCAUACCAUUACAAAAAAAAAACAAUCUACCUAAACACUUGCAAUCUGAAGAAUUAAUACUAAACUAAAUCAAUCACUCAUUUGGAAUAAACAUCACCUUUCCUAAAAAUCGUUAUGUACAUAUCUUCUUCGUCUAUAAUCAGAAAACAUCUUUUUAGCCAUAGAAUCUCUAAAUUGUAGCCAACGAGCUUGCUCAGCCCUAAAUGAAUUUGAUGCUCUAUCUGAGCUGCUUGGAUGAUCAUCAUCGUCAAGGGCUGGGUUUUGAUCUUCUUCAUUCAUUUCAACGAUAAACGGAUCUUCACUUGGAUCAACACCCAUUAUGUGGUUAUGGAUCACGAAGCACGCCAUUGCUAUCUUUGUUUGUGUUUUGAAUGAAUAAUGUGAGUCAGUGGAUAGCAUUGGAAAACGUUUUUCAAUACCCCAAAAGCCCUCUCAAUUGUAGUUCGAAGUGUUGAAUGUCGAUUAUUAUACAGUUCUUUAUCAUUUUUUGGAGGUCGAUCAGAACUAUAUUCAUUUAAAUGAUAUCUUGUAAGACGACAUGGAGUUAAGAUUCCAGGCUCGCAACAGUAUCCCAUGUCAGCCAAACAGUAUUUACCUAAAAAAUUAAAUUCAUUAUUAAUAUUAAUUUGUUAUAAAUUAAAUUAUCAUUGCACUAUACCAUCAACUAAAAUUUGGAUAUAUACCUUGGGGAAUACGAAAUGGAUUAGGUCUAGUACGAGCAUCAUCUAAAACCCUUUGGUCAUGUGUUGUGCCUUCCCACCCCAUAAGAACAUAAGUAAACUUUAAAUCGAACGAACACACGGCUAAUACAUUUUGAGAAGUAAAACUUUUUCUUCCACUUCUAAAUCUUUCCACUCCAUCUCCAGGAACAGUAGCAACAAUAUGUGUCCCAUCUAGAGCUCCCAAACAAUUCUAGAAAAAUGUCUUGUAUGAUUAUGUUAUACAAGGUAGUGUAAGUGAAAAUUACAAAGAUGAGUUUUACCUUGAAGUAUUUCUCAUAUCGAAUGUCAUUAAGAAUUUGAGAUGGGGUCCCUCCAUUAUGUGUAGCUUCUCCAUGGUCAGCUAGCAUGGGUUUAAUUUCAGAAUUGCAUCAAGUGUUUCAUUAAAUUGUCAACUGAUCGGCAAGGGAUCAAUAAUACCUACUCUCAAUAACUCUAUGUCUGAGAUUAUGCCCAAUUAGAUGUAAGAACCUCAUCACCAUUUCUUCCACUUCACAGUUUCUUGUAUCCUCCAAAAGUUUUUUUUCCCCUAAUCAAAUAACAUAAGCGACGAAAAACAUCUGCUCUCAUUCGCAAAUUAGAUUUACAUUUUUGAUCUCUUUUUAAAACAGAGUCCAUGUACGUGUUCCUCUCGCUAACAUAAUUCACACAAGGUUCUUUCGGUAUCUGAUGAAAUAAAAAUUGGGUUGUAAUUGUCAUUGCCAAAUGCGCAACAUUGGCAGCCUCAACAACUACAAAUUCCUAUAUCCAUUCUUCCUCAGUGGAGUUAGCCAUACUAGUAGAAUUGAUAAUAAAAAGAUAUUGUUACAAAAUAAAUUGAUUAUUCUAUAAUUAAAAUUCAAGGUAAUAAGCUAAAAAUCUAUGUUCUACAAGCCAAUUUUCAUUCAAAACCUAAGAUAAUUUUAUCAUAGAGAUUCAAGUAUUAAGGUUAAGUUACCAAAUCAGUUCAUACUUGAAACUGUUCAUACUUGUAAUUAUAUUUCUAAUAGACAGAAUUCUGAAUAGAGAAUUGAGAAAACCUAUACCCCAAUCAAGAUUUCAAGCAAUAUUUUCAAAAUCAAGACUUGAUUUAUGACAAAGUAGCAAAAACAGUAACCAAAACCAUGAGAGAUAUACAAAAAAAAACACAAUUAAAAAAGCUUACCUUAGCAAAAUCAAGAGACAACAGAUGAAUGAGAAGCUUUAGAUUGAGAUGGAGAACUUUUAUCAAGCAAAAAAAUGUAUUCCAAUUGGAGAAGUCGAGCUCUAAGGGAGAAGACGACGAGCUCUAAGGUAGUUAUUUUCCUUAGAUUUCGUAUCCCACCUCUAAUUGCAAGUGGAUGCGAUGAAAUUUGAGCUGCAAUCAACUUGCACAUGAACUAUUUAUAGGUGGGAGUAGUAGGGAAUGGGUUGCAAUAACUAAAUUUUGCAAGGGUGCUCCCAAUCACAUAUUUAUGGGUGGUUACUAACAGUUAGAUGCA